CAAAAAAUUCUACCCUAGGCUGAACUAAAGAGGGUGUCCCCGCCGUCGCACCUUCUCCUCUCUCUCUCUCCCUCUCCGUCCCGUCUUCUCGUUGCUCGCCUCUCCUCUCGUCUCUGUUGCGCCUCUCAUCGCGUUCCAUCAGCCAACGAUCGAGAGCUCUUGACAAUCCAUUCUUGGAUUUCCUUGUGCUCCUGUUCUCAUCUUGGGUAAUAGAUCUUGGAUUAUUAAUUUCAUCUGGCUCCCAAUUAGCUUUGUGGCUACGUAUGGGGUUUAGGUUACAUGAACUAUUCUGUUACAAAUGCUGUAGAUUCUCCUGGUCAAGGUAAGUAUCCAAGCUUGAUAACGCCUUUUCUUUUUUUUCCCAACGUUUCUUUUUCCCAAAUUGAGAAAAGAAAUGUGGAAGACAUCUAGGAUGUGAGGACUUCGGUUUUGUUUUCUAAGUUCAUGGUUCAAACGAUUUGCCAAAUGAUGUUUUGGGACAUUGCGCAAGGGCUUUGAGCACUGCAUGGUGUCGUGAGAUGCAAUGAAAACAAUCAUGAUCAUCCCUUCUGAUGGCAGUUCUUUUUAUUUAAAAUGUUGCUGAGUGGUACAUUUUAAUUUAUAUUAUUCUUUUUAUUUUUUGUCUGCUGGAUUUCCUUUUUUUUAUAUAAAAAAAAAAUCUCUCAUCGUUUUGCUCUUGCAAAUGCCCCAUGAGAAGAAUCUUAAGAGUUGCCAAAUGAUGCCGCGAUGUUACGUAAGGGCUUUGAGCAUUGCAUGGUAUUGUGUGAUGCAAUGCGAUAAUAUCAUGGCCAUCCCUCCUAAUGGUAUUUUACCAAGAGUUAUUUACCUUUAGCUUAGUUGAUUUCUCUAGACCCCUCCUCUGCUUCUGCGUCAAUUUCUUUGUGCAGCAUUAUACAGCCUCACGAAUGGAAAUACAUCACUGUGAUUUUGUUUUUUCCUUUAUUUUUGGUGGAUCUGAGAUAAUGUCUUAUAAAACCUUAUAGAUAAUGUCUAUUACUUGAGUUCAUCAAGGUCUGUUCACUAUUUGUACUCUGUUCUGGUUUCUGUUUUGUAUAUUCCUGUAAGUGGUCCAGCGCAGAACAAGACCCAUUACCUUGUGCAACGGUAAUGAGUUAAAAGUACACACUGUUUCUCUGCCACACUGACCACGGAGCUUUAUUUGAUUCUGUCAUGAUCUCUGAUUGCUCCUUAAUCAGUUCUCAUGACAAAAAGAGCUCUUGUUUUCAGCUUCUUUCAUUACAGUAUCUAUUUAUGCAAAGAAUGGGAGCAUUCUGGAAUUACAUCAGGCUCAAAUCCUGUCUUGAAGUUUAUGUUCCAACUUGCUUUGUGGUUCCAUGAUCAAGUUAACCAGUACAUUGCUGCUUGCCUAUAGUAAUCUUGUUCUGAUUUUCCCCUGAUGGAACCUGGAAUAUGCGGUGGCCCAUGCACAGCUAUUGCUUCUGCUCUAUAAACUUUGCUUAGAUCAAUUUUGAUUUGUUCUUAAUCCUAGUUCCUUUAACUUCACCUUCCAUAUCCUUGCAAGAAACAUUUGAUUAAUAAACGGUUGCAAGUAUCGGAUCCAGUGCUGCAAAGGCAUUUCAUCACAAGUGUAGCUUCUUGUAAGCUCUCAGACCUUCCUGCACUUACCUAUGCAAAACCUGCCUUGCCCAAUGCUGCUCCCUUGAGUGCAGGUCAGUUUUCUACUAACUAGUUACUUACCCAUUUUCAUUCCUAGAUUAAAGGGUAAGGUCAUUCAGCAUUUUUUCAGGAUCCACCAAUGCUGAUACACAGAGUGAGUGUACUUGCCAAAGUUUCUCAUGAAUACUCUAAUAAUCAUGCUUAAGUUUCUUUUUUUGAUGGAAAACUGAAUAAUAGCAGUGAUUUUAUUCAGUUGUCUGCGAACAAUUUGUUAAUUUCUUUUGCUUGCCCGGUUAGAUGAUCAAAAAAACUGAAAUACCUACGGUAUGCUUCAGGAUGUCGAGAAGAGAAUUAGGGGGAAAAUAAGACUUCAACCCUCCCUUGCUGCAGCGGCAGAAAAAUUUCGCUGACUAUUAAAAUAUAAACGAAUAGCUAACUCUUGAACUCAAGCCAGUGUACAAUCGGCAGGAAGUUUUGGAUGUGUGGUUUUGUCUGCAGUUUAAGCAUGAUAUGGCUUUCCAAGGAUGAUAACUUUGAAUCAAGCAUUGCACUGAAGAUUGCUGAAAAAUGGCUACUGACUGGCUGCCCAUGGGUGCUCCUAUUCCUUGUGCGCCUGGCAGCUCAACGGUGGCGCCCGUCUGCCCGUCGAGUGCGCCCGCCCCCAUGAUGUCAACCCAAGGGGUGAAGCUGGGCUCAGCGAGGCUAGACAUCGUCGAGAGCCAGGACAAGAAGUACCAAGAUAUCGACCGAGAAGCUCAAGGAAUCGAGGGUAGAGAUCAAGGAGCCCGAGUGGAUCAACUACUGGAAGCCGCACGGGAAGGAGUUUGCACUGAGACGGGCAUGAAGCGCCGGACUCCUUUUCGGCUUUGUUUGGAGUGUGAUGCGGCGGGCAUAGUAAUAGGUUUUUUUGUAGAUGAAGUUGUAGGCAGGCUGUGUUAUGUAGUUGAUGCUGGGUAUAAAUGAAAGAACCAUAUAGCUUUUGGGUAAUUUGAUAAAACAGUGUCCUUGAAGCAUAUUGGCACAUGUUGUAAUAUUUAUCUAGUUCCUUUGGGCAAUGAUCUAUGGUUAUAUAGCUGUUGGGGAACUUUCA